GAUGAACGCUGGCGGCGUGCCUAAUACAUGCAAGUCGAGCGAACAGACGAGGAGCUUGCUCCUCUGACGUUAGCGGCGGACGGGUGAGUAACACGUGGAUAACCUACCUAUAAGACUGGGAUAACUUCGGGAAACCGGAGCUAAUACCGGAUAAUAUAUUGAACCGCAAGGUUCAAUAGUGAAAUACGGUUUUGCUGUAACUUAUAGAUGGAUCCGCGCCGCAUUAGCUAGUUGGUAAGGUAACGGCUUACCAAGGCAACGAUGCGUAGCCGACCUGAGAGGGUGAUCGGCCACACUGGAACUGAGACACGGUCCAGACUCCUACGGGAGGCAGCAGUAGGGAAUCUUCCGCAAUGGGCGAAAGCCUGACGGAGCAACGCCGCGUGAGUGAUGAAGGUCUUCGGAUCGUAAAACUCUGUUAUUAGGGAAGAACAAAUGUGUAAGUAACUAUGCACGUCUUGACGGUACCUAAUCAGAAAGCCACGGCUAACUACGUG
rnacentral:rRNA from 1 species